UACGUAGGGGGCAAGCGUUAUCCGGAAUCACUGGGUGUAAAGGGAGCGUAGACGGCUGAGCAAGCCUGAAGUGAAAGGCGGGGGCCCAACCCCCGGACUGCUUUGGGAACUGUACGGCUGGAGUGCAGGAGAGGUAAGUGGAAUUCCUGGUGUAGCGGUGAAAUGCGUAGAUAUCAGGAGGAACACCGGCGGCGAAGGCGACUUUCUGGACAGUAACUGACGUUGAGGCACGAAAGCGUGGGUAUCGAACAGG
rnacentral:rRNA from 1 species